rnacentral:rRNA from 1 species
GACGAACGCUGGCGGCGUGCCUAAUACAUGCAAGUCGAGCGGACAGAAGGGAGCUUGCUCCCGGAAGUUAGCGGCGGACGGGUGAGUAACACGUGGGCAACCUACCCUGUAGAUCGGGAUAACAUCGAGAAAUCGGUGCUAAUACCGGAUAAUCAUUUGAAGUGCAUGCUUCGAAUGUAAAAGAUGGCUCCGGCUAUCCCUACGGGCUGGGCCCGCGGCGCAUUAGCUAGUUGGUAAGGUAAUGGCUUACCAAGGCAACGAUGCGUAGCCGACCUGAGAGGGUGAUCGGCCACACUGGGACUGAGACACGGCCCAGACUCCUACGGGAGGCAGCAGUAGGGAAUCUUCCGCAAUGGACGAAAGUCUGACGGAGCAACGCCGCGUGAGUGAUGAAGGUUUUCGGAUCGUAAAGCUCUGUUGUUAGGGAAGAACAAGUGCCGUUUGAAUAAGGCGGCACCUUGACGGUACCUAACCAGAAAGCCACGGCUAACUACGUGCCAGCCGCCGCAGUAAUAC